CCGGACAACGGCUUGAAAACAUACACACACAGACAGGCUUGAAAACACUCGGAUUCAGUGCGUUUUCUGCACGUCUGAAAGAUGGCAUGCUACACAGAAGGAGUUUACCUUGUUUCUCAGAAGAAGACUGUGUGACUCCGACGACGAACGGGAGCAUUUUGAGGAGAGAAUAGAUCCAGUAGAGGACAUUGAAGCAAGCUGCUAUGACACUGGGAAAGUGUCUGCAUCACCCUUGCCUUCACCAGCACCUCACAGCAGGACACGCAAGCGCCGUUCAGUUUUGAGUGCAAUUGAGAAUAAUACUGAUGAAAAUGAUCAGGCACCUGUCCCCAAAAAAGCAAAGGCGAACAAGAUGCAAGCAACGUUAUGGAAGACACAGACUGAUGAUGACACGGUUCCACAGACUCUGCGAUUCCUGCCCGCACAGGAACCUGGACCACAACUGCCGUCUGCUGUCUUACAUUCUCCCAUGAGUCUAUUCAAGCUGUUUUUUUUUGUUUUUUUUUUCAACGAGCGCUGUUUCGACUCUGUGCCACAACACCAAUGCUCAGGCUGUUCUUUUGUACAUAAAGAACUACAGUGGUGUGAAAAACUAUUUGCCCCCCUCGUGAUUUCUUAUUCUUUUGCAUGUUUGUCACACAAAAUG